CCAUGAUCAAGUAGGCUUCAUCCCAGGGAUGCAGGUAUGGUUCAACAAACAAAAAUCUAUCAUGUGAUCUACCAUAUAAACAAAUUGAAAAAGAAAAACCACGUGAUAUCUCAACUAGAUGCUGAAGAAGACUUUGGCAAGGUCCAAUAUCCCUUCAUGAUAAAGGUCUUGAGAUCAGGGAUGACAGGAACAUACCUAAACAUAAUAAAACAUCACACAGAAUAUUUUUCAUCUUUAUUGGUCAUUUGUUCUUCAUCUUUUGGGAACUGUGUUCAAUUCAUUAUUUUGCUUCUCUGACAUCAGGUACUUUGACGUAGCAACCAUCAUCACUUUGUAUCCUCAGGAGUUUUUGUUGUGCUUUAUAAGAACUCUACUCACUGAGCAAUAACUCCCUAGUUUUCUUCCACUGCUCCUGGUAAAUACUAUUGUUCUGUCUCUUUGGAUAUGAGGUUUCCAGGUACCUCUGUGGGGUGGAAUAGUGCAGCAUAUGUUCUUUUCAUUUGGCAUGCUGUUUUUAAGGUCCAUAUUUAUUUUAGCGUGUAUCACAAUUUCAUUGUUUUGAAGCUUGGGAAUUUUGAGACAGCAUGUCGCUCAGUAGCCCAGCUUGUCAUGGAACUCAUGAAAUCUUCCAGCCUCAGCUGGCAUUACAGCCACCAUGCCUAGUGGGAUUUUGUCUCUAUUUAAAGUGAACACUGUUGGAUUGGGUGUUCAUAUUACAUUUUGUUUACCAUUGAUCCAGCAGCAUUCAUUUCUAAUUUUGUAAAGUGGAUACUGAUACAGACAAGAAACAGCUCCAGAAGUCACUUUAUAGUUCCAAUCACCUCAUGUACAUGAGGUUAGAUGAUUAUUACAAAAGGAGCGUGAUUGCUAGGAAGGCCUGGGGACAGAUGUUUAUAUAGAAUUUUAAUUUCUGCUUUAUAAUUAAUAGCUAUAAUUGACCUAAUUGCCUUUUUUACAGUUUGCUGGUCCUUGAAUUCAUCUUGUCACUCACCAUACUCAAGGAAGAAACUUCCCCCAGCCAGCAUUCCCUGGUGCAGAGAAAAGAGGGUGAAGGGGAGAUUUUAUGGGUUUAGUUGUGUAAGCAUUCAAUAAAAGGAAGGGAAGUGGGGUGGAAGACAUAUUCAACCUAAUUCUAUUUUCUUAGGGGAUUUAAGAAGCUUCCCAUGAACUAAAUGUUUUGAAGAAAUAAGUUAUAUCCUGCCAUUUCUUACACGAGUGGCCUAUCUAAUUGAAUAAAACUAUAUGACUCAUGAAUUACAAGUUGAAUGCAGUGUAGCUAUGAGGGGUGUACUUAGGUGCUCAUUGAAGCAGUCUUUGAAGGGAAGGGAUGGAGCUAACGUGUCAAGAAACUUCCUGGCUUUAGCCUUUGGUAUCUUCUCCCUACACAUAAAACCCCUUCUGCUGCUUGCUUCUCCUUACUUCUGUCUCCAGUACUUCACAGCAGAGAAAGUCGCACGAGUUAUUGCUUUCUGAACAACAAACCUAAUUCCUCAGAAUAAAAGAUCCUUUUCUCUGGUAUGUUUGGAACACUAUGAUUUUUAUACUGAGUCAUUCUCCAUUGUGGUUUAGAAAGGGCAAUCGCAAGACAUGAAGUCCGGGAAAUUGAACAGCGGCAUACAAUGGAUGGCCCUCGGCAAGAUGCGGCUGUAGA